rnacentral:rRNA from 1 species
GACAGAGGGUGCAAGCGUUGUUCGGAAUCAUUGGGCGUAAAGGGCGCGUAGGCGGUUUGUUAAGUCUGUUGUGAAAUCCCCGGGCUCAACCUGGGAAUGGCAAUGGAUACUGGCAAGCUAGAGUGUGUCAGAGGAUGGUGGAAUUCCCGGUGUAGCGGUGAAAUGCGUAGAGAUCGGGAGGAACAUCAGUGGCGAAGGCGGCCAUCUGGGACAACACUGACGCUGAGGCACGAAAGCGUGGGGAGCAAACAGG